AUCGAACGCUGGCGGCAGGCUUAACACAUGCAAGUCGAGCGAGAGGCGGACGGGUGAGUAAUUUCUGGGAAACUGCCUGAUGUAGCGGGAUAAGUACUGGAACCGGUAGCUAAUACCGCUUACAAUCAGAUGUGCCCAGAUGGGAUUAGCUAGUCGGUGGGGUCAUGGCUCACCUAGGCGACGAUCCCUAGCUGGUCUGAGAGGAUGACCGGCCACACUGGGACUGAGACACGGUCCAGACUCCUACGUGAGGCAGCAGUGGGGAAUCUUGCACAAUGGGGGAAAGUCGGAUGCAGCCAUGCCGCGGGUAUGAAGAAGGCGUUCGGGUUGUAAAGUACUGUCAGCGGAGAGGCGUUACCCUAAGAAAAAGCACCGGCUAACUACGUGCCAGCAGCCGCGGUAAUAC
rnacentral:rRNA from 1 species